UACGGAAGGCAGCAGUGGGGAAUAUUGCACAAUGGGCGAAAGCCUGAUGCAGCUAUGCCGCGUGUAUGAAGAAGGCCUUAGGGUUGUAAAGUACUUUCAUCGGGGAGGAAAAAACAAAACUAAUAAUUUUAUUUCUUGACGUUACCCGAAAAAGAAGCACCGGCUAACUCCGUGCCAGCAGCCGCGGUAAUACGGAGGGUGCUAGCGUUAAUCAGAAUUACUGGGCGUAAAGAGCACGUAGGUGGUUUUUUUAAGUCAGAUGUGAAAUCCCCUGGGCUUAACCUAGGAACUGCAUUUUGAAACUGAAAUACUAGAGUAUCGUAGAGGGAGGUAGAAUUCUAGGUGUAGCGGUGAAAUGCGUAGAUAUCUGGAGGAAUACCUGUGGCGAAAGCGGCCUCCUAAACGAAUACUGACACUGAGGUGCGAAAAGCGUGGGGAGCAAACAGGGAUUAGAUACC
rnacentral:rRNA from 1 species